rnacentral:lncRNA from 1 species
CUAUAACCACCCUCACCCCAUUUCCACCCCCACCCCAUCACCCUCUCCAACUCAUUCCUACCCCCACCCCAUCAUCACAUCCAUCACAUUGUCACCUCUGUUUUAUUGUCACCCCCACCCCAUCAUCACAUCCAUCACAUUGUCACCUCUGUUUUAUUGUCACCCCCACCCCAUCGUCACGUCCAUCACGUUGUCACCUCCGUUUUAUUGUCACCCCCCCCACCCAUUGCCACCUCCGCCCCAUUGCCACCUCCGCCCCAUUGCCACCCCCGCCCCAUUAUGGCCACCCCCGCCCCAUUGUCACCUCUACCCCAUUGUCACCUCCACCCUACAGCCACCCCCGCCCCACUGUCACCUCUGUCCCUUUCCUACUUCUGUGUGAUGCCCAGCCCCACCACCUCCAUCCUGCAGCCCUGUCCCCUCGUGUCACCUCUGCUCCCCUUUGUGUUGUCCCCUCGUGUCACCUCUGCUCCCCUUCAUGAUGUCCCCACGUGUCACCCCUGGUCCCCUUUGUGUUGUCCCCUCAUGUCACCUCCAUUCCUUGUGAUGUCCCCUCGUGUCACCUCCAUUCUCCUUCAUGAUGUCCUCCCCAAUUGUCACCUUCCUUCUCUCUUUUAUUGUCCCCUCGUGUCACCUCCGUUCUCCUUCACGAUGUCCCCGUGUGUCACCUCUGCUCCCCUUUAUGUUGUCCCCCCAUGUCACCUCACCUCCAUUCCUCCUGAUGUCCCCCCGUGUCACCUCCCCUCUCCUGUCACUGCGUGACCCCCCGAUGUCCCCACACGUCCCCUCCUGACCCCCCGAUGUCCCCACAGUUGUGUGUUACAACGGUGGCACCCACGACGGCAUCAAAUGCCUCUGCCUCUCCAACUUCUAUGGGCCGCAGUGCGAGUUCCCCAUCGACACCAUCGACACCUCCCUCUCGUCCUCCAGCACCACGGUGGCUGCGGCGGAUCUGGACGUCACCAUCACCAACUUCAACUACACCGAGGAGUUGGAGGACCAACAGUCGGAAGCGUUCCUCGAGUUUGGGGAGCACUUCCAGAAGGAGGUGAGAACCGUUCCUCGGGUGGGAGGAGGUUGGGGGGGUCACUUCCGNNNNNNNNNNNNNNNNNNNNUUCCGGUUUUGGGGGUGUCACUUCCGGUGAUUGGGGUCUCACUUCCUGUUGUUGGGGUCUCGCUUCCCGUGGUUGGGGUCUCACUUCCAUCGGUUGGGGUGCCACAUCCGGAUUUGGGGCGCCACUUCCCGUUGUUGGGGUCUCACUUCCGGAUUUGGGGUGUCACUUCCUGCGGUUGGUGGUCUCACUUCCGGUGGUCUGGGUCUCGCUUCCAUCGGUUUGGGUGUCACUUCCGUAUUUGGGACGCCACUUCCCGAUGUUCGGGCGUCAUUUCCUGUUUGGCGGGAGCCACUUCCGGUGGCGGGGCGUCACUUCCGGUUUCAGUUUCGUUUCUGUUCGUCGGUUCCACAGAUCGGGAAAAUCUACGGCAGCGUCCCCAGCUACAAGGGGGUGAAGAUCCUCGACGUCGGGUGCG